rnacentral:lncRNA from 1 species
AACUGCGUCCUGAGCCCUACCCCUUGACCAGCCACUUAGUUUGCUCUGGAAUUCCCGUUCUCCUGAAGGGGAGAGGAGAGCCUCGCGGAAGGUCCCACGCACCCCUCAACCUGGGGUCUAGACCAGGCGGUCCCAAAGCUUCUGCGAACAGCUGUGCCCAGCAUGAGGAGGAGUGCAGGUCACCGACGGGCUAGGAUGACGUGCAGUACUAGGAAAAAGAACUGGAACAAAUAAUCCUAAAAUUUGUAUGGAACUUCAAAAGACUGAGUUGCCCAAGCAAUCUUGAGAAAAAAGAACAAAGCUGGAGAUAUGCUCCCCAAUUUCUCAAUAUGCAAUGCUACAGUCAUCAAAACGGCACUGUGUAGCUGUACAUGAACAUCUCUGCAAUUGAUCGACUGAUGAUACUUCUGUCUUACAUGAGAUCACUAAGUUACCAUGGAGUCACUCUGUGAAGAAGCCCUCUCCUUUGGGAAGAUGCCCACCCAGCAGGGAGACCUCAUGGACCAGUUCACAAUUUGUUUUCAGACAUAUUAACCCCACAAAUACAACAUAUCAUAUUAUGCCUUGUACUACCAGAGCAGUAGCCCCACCGGGGAUCACCAGAGCAGUUACCCUAGCCCCAGGUGUAUACUCCCAGCUCUGUGUUCACUGGAUACUUGUUCCCUAGAAUUUCUAAAGUACAUACAAUAAACUGUUUUCAGGAAAAAUAUUCCUGUGCCUGAGCCCAUUAGAGAUGUUGCUAUGGUUGGGUGGCUGAGCUUGCCAAGGCUAGGAUGCAAUUUUCAUGUCCACGGCUUUGAGUCCAGCUUUCAGCUCACAACUGGAGGGUAACUUGAAUGCCGCUUGGAGAUACACAAAGAUUUCUUGCUCAAGCCUGAAAUUGGAGUGUCCUUCCUCUCCUGGCUCUGCCCCCUCUUACCCUCCAGCAUCCUCCUACUUCUCCUCUAUCUUAAUCCCAGGGAUCCUCCAGCAUCUGAGCAAUACAGUGGGUGAAUGUGUGUGUAGUAACUUUGGCCAUCUCCUCCUGUGGGGCACGGUAGGCCCAGGUGAGGUCAGGAGGUAAAACAUUGAUAAACUCAUUAAGUCCUAAAUUUUUAAAAAGACAAAAACAAAUAAAAUAGAGCUGAAACUAGAGCAGUAAGCCAACAGAGUUACCUACUCUAGAGUUGACCUGGGGUAGGGGUAUGACUAUUCCACCAUCCUGUCAGAAACAGAAGCUUCUUUUAGUUCCUUUGUGUCUCAUCUCAUUCAACCUGCUGCAUGAAUAUGAAAGUGCAAUCAAUGCAUUCAUAAGAUUUUAUCAUUAUUAUUAUCAACAAAGCGCUUUAUAAAUAUAUUUCUCUUCAAGGACAUCAUUCUAUUGUAUUAGGACUUCAUGUUUCUUGCAUGCCUAGUAUAGAAGUUCUAGCAGCUGCCUGGAAUUAUUUUUUUUCUUGUGGAUAAAUAAGGCCAUCUGAGUAAAUAUGUAAUUAGGACCAUAAUGGCACAUUUUGACUGCUUUUAAUAAAUAACACCAACCA